rnacentral:misc_RNA from 1 species
UCCGGCUUAUCACCGGCGGUUUCUUGAGAGUGCCCAACUAAAUGAUGGCAACUAAAGACGAGGGUUGCGCUCGUUGCGGGACUUAACCCAACAUCUCACGACACGGGCUGACGACAGCCAUGCAGCACCUGUCACCGGUCCAGCCGAACUGAAGGGUCUCAUCUCUGAAACCCAUACGGGACAUGUCAAGGGCUGGUAAGGUUCUGCGCGUUGCUUCGAAUUGAACCACAUGCUCCACCGCUUGUGCGGGCCCCCGUCAAUUCCUUUGAGUUUCAGUCUUGCGACCGUACUCCCCAGGCGGCGAACUUAACGCGUUAGCUUCGAUACUGAGUGCCUAGUUGCACCCAACAUCCAGUUCGCAUCGUUUAGGGCGUGGACUAC